CACGUAGGGCGCAAGCGUUGUCCGGAAUUAUUGGGCGUAAAGAGCUCGUAGGCGGUCUGUUACGUCUGCUGUGAAAACCCAGGGCUUAACCCUGGGCUUGCAGUGGAUACGGGCAGACUAGAGGCAGGUAGGGGAGAAUGGAAUUCCCGGUGUAGCGGUGAAAUGCGCAGAUAUCAGGAGGAACACCGGUGGCGAAGGCGGUUCUCUGGGCAUGACCUGACGCUGAGGAGCGAAAGUGUGGGGAGCGAACAGG
rnacentral:rRNA from 1 species